rnacentral:rRNA from 1 species
CAGUCGCCGCGGUAAUACGUAGGGGGCAAGCGUUAUCCGGAAUUACUGGGUGUAAAGGGAGCGUAGACGGUUAAACAAGUCUGAAGUGAAAUGCCGGGGCUCAACCCCGGAGCUGCUUUGGGAACUGUAGAACUGGAGUGUCGGAGGGGUAAGCGGAAUUCCCAGUGUAGCGGUGAAAUGCGUAGAUAUUGGGAGGAACACCGGUGGCGAAGGCGGCUUACUGGACGACAACUGACGUUGAGGCUCGAAGGCGUGGGUAGCAAACCGGAUUAGAUACCCCUGUAGUCCCUGUCUCUUAUAC